AGAUUAGAAGAUCAAUACUAUUAGAUAUCCAGCCAAUCUCUGAGCGUGCUUAGCUCUGGUUAACUUGCCGUACUUCAUAGGUUCAGAGAUUCGAUUCUCAAGCUAUAUUUAAUUGUUUUUUACGCUUCUUAAAAGGUUGUACUUUUCCAAACAUUGCAAUUCACAAAAGUUUAAAAACUCCUAAGAGACCACAAUACAUGCAAUCCCAGGAUCAAACAUCAAAUGUAUGAACUUUCUCCAAAAGCAAUUCGGCAAGUUUCCUUUUUAUAGAAAUGUAAUUUGAGCAACCCACGACCCACCCACUUGCUUGGUAUCAUUCAGCUUCUGGAGAGAGGUCAAAGACAUCCACAAUUUGCUGAGCAGCUCGGCAAGCACGCAAAAUGGAUUCAUUUUAAUACUCCGAGAAGCAAUCUGAAACCGCAAAAUGGACGAGCAGGUAAAAAGGGAACACUUAAGUUGCGCCCUUAAAUAAAAAUAACUUUGGCCUAUUUAAUGCAUGUUUAACUGCACAGUUAAUUGUUGU